GGGGGUAGGGCCUCAUAAGGCCCCAUCCACUUCUGAGGAUCUAGAGGCAGUUAAUGGUUGCUGGGGGAGGGAGAGACAUUUUCUUUUGGUGUAAUUACUGAAGUGAAGAGCAGCCUCCAUUUCUGCUUUGACACUCUGCUCAAGCAAGCAAGACCAAGCAAUUAAGAAUUGAACACUCUGAAACUGUAUUUUUAAAGCCACAUACCAGCAGCCAGCAAAUAUUUAACCAACUCCAGGUGUCCCUCUUGAGAAGCCUCCAUGAGAGGUGUGGAGCAGCCAAGUUCUAUGUCAGCCCCUGCCUUAAUCAGAAAAUC